GACGAACGCUGGCGGCGUGCUUAACACAUGCAAGUCGAGCGGUAAGGCCCUUUCGGGGGUACACGAGCGGCGAACGGGUGAGUAACACGUGGGUGACCUGCCCUCAGCUCUGGGAUAAGCCUGGGAAACCGGGUCCUAAUACUGGAUAUGACUCCAUGACGCAUGUUGUGGGGUGGAAAGCCUUGUGCGGCUGAGGAUGGGCCCGCGGCCUAUCAGCUUGUUGGUGGGGUGAGGCCUACCAAGGCGACGACGGGUAGCCGGCCUGAGAGGGCGACCGGCCACACUGGGACUGAGACACGGCCCAGACUCCUACGGGAGGCAGCAGUGGGGAAGUCUUGCGCAAUGGGCGAAAGCCUGACGCAGCGACGCCGCGUGAGGGAUGACGGCC
rnacentral:rRNA from 1 species